GCAGUGGGCCAGACGAUCGCCGCGCCGUAAGGCGGGGAGGAAAGUCCGAACUCCGCAGGGCAGUGCGCCGGGUAACGCCCGGUCGGGGCAACUCGAAGGACAGUGGCACAGAAAACAUACCGCUAACCGGGCAACCGGCAGCAAGGGUGAAAAGGUGCGGU
rnacentral:RNase_P_RNA from 1 species